rnacentral:rRNA from 1 species
AGCGGCGGACGGGUGAGUAAUGUCUGGGAAACUGCCUGAUGGAGGGGGAUAACAACUGGAAACGGUAGCUAAUACCGCAUAACGUCGCAAGACCAAAGAGGGGGACCUUCGGGCCUCUUGCCAUCAGAUGUGCCCAGAUGGGAUUAGCUAGUAGGUGGGGUAAUGGCUCACCUAGGCGACGAUCCCUAGCUGGUCUGAGAGGAUGACCAGCCACACUGGAACUGAGACACGGCCCAGACUCCUACGGGAGGCAGCAGUGGGGAAUAUUGCACAAUGGGCGCAAGCCUGAUGCAGCCAUGCCGCGUGUAUGAAGAAGGCCUUCGGGUUGUAAAGUACUUUCAGCGAGGAGGAAGGCAUUGUGGUUAAUAACCGCAGUGAUUGACGUUACUCGCAGAAGAAGCACCGGCUAACUCCGUGCCAGCAGCCGCGGUAAUACGGAGGGUGCAAGCGUUAAUCGGAAUUACUGGGCGUAAAGCGCACGCACGCGGUCUGUCAAGUCGGAUGUGAAAUACCGGGGCUCAACCUUGGAACUGCAUUCGAAACUGGCAGGCUAGAGUCUUGUAGAAGGGGGGUAGAUUUCCAG